AUUCUGGCUCAGGAUGAACGCUGGCGGCGUGCUUAACACAUGCAAGUCGAACGGGAUCCAUCAGGCUUUGCUUGGUGGUGAGAGUGGCGAACGGGUGAGUAAUGCGUGACCGACCUGCCCCAUACACCGGAAUAGCUCCUGGAAACGGGUGGUAAUGCCGGAUGCUCCAGUUGAUCGCAUGGUCUUCUGGGAAAGCUUUCGCGGUAUGGGAUGGGGUCGCGUCCUAUCAGCUUGAUGGCGGGGUAACGGCCCACCAUGGCUUCGACGGGUAGCCGGCCUGAGAGGGCGACCGGCCACAUUGGGACUGAGAUACGGCCCAGACUCCUACGGGAGGCAGCAGUGGGGAAUAUUGCACAAUGGGCGCAAGCCUGAUGCAGCGACGCCGCGUGAGGGAUGGAGGCCUUCGGGUUGUAAACCUCUUUUGUUAGGGAGCAAGGCACUUUGUGUUGAGUGUACCUUUCGAAUAAGCACCGGCUAACUACGUGCCAGCAGCCGCGGUAAUACGUAGGGUGCAAGCGUUAUCCGGAAUUAUUGGGCGUAAAGGGCUCGUAGGCGGUUCGUCGCGUCCGGUGUGAAAGUCCAUCGCUUAACGGUGGAUCCGCGCCGGGUACGGGCGGGCUUGAGUGCGGUAGGGGAGACUGGAAUUCCCGGUGUAACGGUGGAAUGUGUAGAUAUCGGGAAGAACACCAAUGGCGAAGGCAGGUCUCUGGGCCGUUACUGACGCUGAGGAGCGAAAGCGUGGGGAGCGAACAGGAUUAGAUACCCUGGUAGUCCACGCCGUAAACGGUGGAUGCUGGAUGUGGGGCCCGUUCCACGGGUUCCGUGUCGGAGCUAACGCGUUAAGCAUCCCGCCUGGGGAGUACGGCCGCAAGGCUAAAACUCAAAGAAAUUGACGGGGGCCCGCACAAGCGGCGGAGCAUGCGGAUUAAUUCGAUGCAACGCGAAGAACCUUACCUGGGCUUGACAUGUUCCCGACGAUCCCAGAGAUGGGGUUUCCCUUCGGGGCGGGUUCACAGGUGGUGCAUGGUCGUCGUCAGCUCGUGUCGUGAGAUGUUGGGUUAAGUCCCGCAACGAGCGCAACCCUCGCCCCGUGUUGCCAGCGGAUUGUGCCGGGAACUCACGGGGGACCGCCGGGGUUAACUCGGAGGAAGGUGGGGAUGACGUCAGAUCAUCAUGCCCCUUACGUCCAGGGCUUCACGCAUGCUACAAUGGCCGGUACAACGGGAUGCGACA
rnacentral:rRNA from 1 species